CUACGGGUCGCACCAGUGAGGAAUAUUGCACAAUGGGGGGAACCCUGAUGCAGCAACGCCGCGUGGAGGAUGACGCAUUUCGGUGUGUAAACUCCUUUUAUAUGUCAAGAAAAUGACGGUAGCAUAUGAAUAAGCACCGGCUAACUCCGUGCCAGCAGCCGCGGUAAUAGGAGGGUGCAAGCGUUACUCGGAAUCACUGGGCGUAAAGGGCGCGUAGGCGGGUUGGAAAGUCAGGUGUGAAAUCCUACAGCUUAACUGUAGAACUGCACUUGAAACUUCUAAUCUAGAGUAUGGGAGGGGGAGAUGGAAUUAGUGGUGUAGGGGUAAAAUCCGUAGAUAUCACUAGGAAUACCUAAAGCGAAGGCGAUCUCCUGGAACAUUACUGACGCUAAGGCGUGAAAGCGUGGGGAGCAAACAGGAUUAGAUACCCUUGUAGUC
rnacentral:rRNA from 1 species